rnacentral:rRNA from 1 species
GGUUAAGCGACUAAGCGUACACGGUGGAUGCCCUGGCAGUCAGAGGCGAUGAAGGACGUGCUAAUCUGCGAUAAGCGUCGGUAAGGUGAUAUGAACCGUUAUAACCGGCGAUUUCCGAAUGGGGAAACCCAGUGUGUUUCGACACACUAUCAUUAACUGAAUCCAUAGGUUAAUGAGGCGAACCGGGGGAACUGAAACAUCUAAGUACCCCGAGGAAAAGAAAUCAACCGAGAUUCCCCCAGUAGCGGCGAGCGAACGGGGAGGAGCCCAGAGCCUGAAUCAGUGUGUGUGUUAGUGGAAGCGUCUGGAAAGGCGCGCGAUACAGGGUGACAGCCCCGUACACAAAAAUGCACAUACUGUGAGCUCGAUGAGUAGGGCGGGACACGUGGUAUCCUGUCUGAAUAUGGGGGGACCAUCCUCCAAGGCUAAAUACUCCUGACUGACCGAUAGUGAACCAGUACCGUGAGGGAAAGGCGAAAAGAACCCCGGCGAGGGGAGUGAAAAAGAACCUGAAACCGUGUACGUACAAGCAGUGGGAGCC